rnacentral:rRNA from 1 species
UACGUAGGAGGCAAGCGUUAUCCGGAUUCACUGGGUGUAAAGGGCGCGUAGGUGGCAAUGUAAGUCAGAUGUGAAAUUUUGGGGCUCAACCUCAAAGCUGCAUCUGAAACUGCGUAGCUAGAGUGCAGGAGAGGAAAGCGGAAUUCCGAGUGUAGCGGUGAAAUGCGUAGAGAUUCGGAGGAACACCAGUAGCGAAGGCGGCCUUCUGGACUGUAACUGACACUGAGGCACGAAAGCGUGGGGAGCAAACAGG